rnacentral:tRNA from 1 species
AGGGUAAUAGAUCAGUGGUAGAGUGUGUGCUUGGCGUGCACAAGGUCCUGGGUUCAAUCCCCAGUGCCUCCA